AACGAACGCUGGCGGCAGGCCUAAUACAUGCAAGUCGAACGCUCCAGCAAUGGAGAGUGGCAGACGGGUGAGUAACGCGUGGGAACCUUCCCAGUGGUACGGAAUAGCUCAGGGAAACUUGAGGUAAUACCGUAUACGCCCUUCGGGGGAAAGAUUUAUCGCCAUUGGAUGGGCCCGCGUCGGAUUAGAUAGUUGGUGGGGUAAUGGACCACCAAGGCGACGAUCCGUAGCUGGUCUGAGAGGAUGAUCAGCCACACUGGGACUGAGACACGGCCCAGACUCCUACGGGAGGCAGCAGUAGGGAAUAUUGGACAAUGGGCGCAAGCCUGAUCCAGCCAUGCCGCGUGAGUGACGAAGGCCUUCGGGUUGUAAAGCCCUUUUGGCGGGGACGAUAAUGACGGUACCCGCAGAAUAAGCUCCGACUAACUUCGUGCCAGCAGCCGCGGUAAUAC
rnacentral:rRNA from 1 species